CCUACGGGUGGCUGCAGUGGGGAAUAUUGCACAAUGGGCGCAAGCCUGAUGCAGCCAUGCCGCGUGUGUGAAGAAGGCCUUCGGGUUGUAAAGCACUUUCAGCGGGGAGGAAGGCGGUGAGGUUAAUAACCUCAUCGAUUGACGUUACCCGCAGAAGAAGCACCGGCUAACUCCGUGCCAGCAGCCGCGGUAAUACGGAGGGUGCAAGCGUUAAUCGGAAUUACUGGGCGUAAAGCGCACGCAGGCGGUCUGUCAAGUCGGAUGUGAAAUCCCCGGGCUCAACCUGGGAACUGCAUUCGAAACUGGCAGGCUAGAGUCUUGUAGAGGGGGGUAGAAUUCCAGGUGUAGCGGUGAAAUGCGUAGAGAUCUGGAGGAACACCAGUGGCGAAGGCGACUCUCUGGUCUGUAACUGACGCUGAGGAGCGAAAGCGUGGGGAGCGAACAGGAUUAGAUACCCCAGUAGUC
rnacentral:rRNA from 1 species